UACGAAGGGGGCUAGCGUUGUUCGGAAUUACUGGGCGUAAAGGGCGCGUAGGCGGUGUGUCAAGUCAGGCGUGAAAGCCCCGGGCUCAACCUGGGAACAGCGCUUGAGACUGGCACGCUCGAGUUCGGGAGAGGAUGGUGGAAUUCCCAGUGUAGAGGUGAAAUUCGUAGAUAUUGGGAAGAACACCGAUGGCGAAGGCGGGUCUCUGGGCCGAUACUGACGCUGAGGAGCGAAAGCGUGGGGAGCGAACAGG
rnacentral:rRNA from 1 species